GGUAGGGCCUCCGGACCUGGUGGCCGGCUUGAUCUUCAAAAUCAAUGGGAGGCGCUGCGAGGCGUCUUCGGCGAGUUCGAUUCCCGUGCCCUACCG
rnacentral:tRNA from 1 species